CCCGGGUCAUACAUACUAAUCUAUCAACACUUCUUUGUUGCUCAUAUGUACAUGACCAUCGAUUGUAGGCCUGGUGAAACAUUCAAUCAAGAAGAGUUACGCUCAUUUUUCUCAUUGCCAAAAGUUGUGGAUGGCCUUUUCAGUCUUGCCAAGAUGCUUUUCAAUAUCAACAUUGAAUCAGCUGAUGGCCUAGCCUCGGUAACAUCUAACUAGUCUCAUCAUUGCCUGCUCUUUUAGUCUUUUUAAUGCUAAGCAUACAUUGCUUCUAUGGACUCUCAGCUUAAAAACUUCAGUGGUGGCUACUGCUUUGCGUUAAAGCUAUUGAAUUAUUACAUAAUGAGUUAAAGUUGACUGGGGGCUUUUUUCAUUUUUGUUCUGGUGUUAUUCAUAUAAUGGACACUCCUUAUAGGAACUAUUGGUUACCACGCAGCAUGAAGAAUUGUGGAAUUUGAAUGAAGUUCAUAUUUCAUUAGCCUUGAUGCCAAAAACUGAAAAGGAAAAAAAAUUGUUCACUGUCAAGAUGUACAAUGAGGUGACCUCAUAUUAUGAGAAGGCACUUGCCCUUUAGACCAUAAGUUUGAGCACCUAUGCAGGUCUGGCGUACACUCAUCAUUUGUAGUGGCUGGAGCAAGCUGCAGACCCAUGUCAGGAAGUAGUUAUAAAAUCAUUACUUGUUGCAAGAGAUGUUAUGCUUGAGAUCAAAUUUAAUAUGCAACAGAUGGGCCAGGCAGUAGGCUUUUUUCAUUUUUGUUCUGGUGUUAUUCAUAAAAUGCAAUUUGUUCCCUUUGAUUAGCCAAUACUGAAACUUUAACAAAUAGAUUUGCUAGCAUUUUUUGCCAUCUCUGCAAAGUUAUAAUUUGAAGUGCUAACUUUUACUAUAGCUUAUUUUGUAAUUUUGAUUUUGCAAUGCAACAUCUACAAGCACAUUAUUUUCUUAUGUUUUUCUUUAGAUUAAUCUCUAUUUUGAUGGAAUGCAAUAAACUUCUGUUAAUUUAUUUCCCUUGACCCUAAAUUUCGUGUGUUUAUCAGGGUUUAAAAUUGUUCCUAAAAUUUCAUCCUAAAAUGUGA